rnacentral:rRNA from 1 species
CCUACGGGUGGCAGCAGUGAGGAAUAUUGGUCAAUGGGCGCGAGCCUGAACCAGCCAAGUAGCGUGAAGGAUGACUGCCCUACGGGUUGUAAACUUCUUUUAUAAGGGAAUAAAGUGCGCCACGUGUGCCUUUUUGUAUGUACUUUAUGAAUAAGCAUCGGCUAACUCCGUGCCAGCAGCCGCGGUAAUACGGAGGAUCCGAGCGUUAUCCGGAUUUAUUGGGUUUAAAGGGAGCGUAGAUGGUUUGUUAAGUCAGUUGUAAAAGUGUGCGGCUCAACCGUACAAUUGCAAUUGAUACUGGGAGUUUUGAGUAGAGUUGAGGUAGGGGGAAUUAGUGGUGUAGCGGUGAAAUGCUUAGA